UACAGAGGGUGCGAGCGUUAAUCGGAAUUACUGGGCGUAAAGCGCACGUAGGCGGCUUCGCAAGUCCCAUGUGAAAGCCCACGGCUUAACCGUGGAAGUGCAUGGGAAACUGCAGAGCUUGAGUACUUAAGAGGAUCGCGGAAUUCCCGGUGUAGAGGUGAAAAUUCGUAGAUAUCAGGAGGAACACCAGUGGCGAAGGCGGCUUUCUGGACGGUAACUGACGCUGAGACGCGAAAAGCGUGGGGGAGCAAACAGG
rnacentral:rRNA from 1 species